UAGGGAAUCUUCGGCAAUGGACGAAAGUCUGACCGAGCAACGCCGCGUGAGUGAAGAAGGUUUUCGGAUCGUAAAACUCUGUUGUUAGAGAAGAACAAGGACGUUAGUAACUGAACGUCCCCUGACGGUACCUAACAGAAAGCCACGGCUAACUACGUGCCAGCAGCCGCGGUAAUACGUAGGUGGCAAGCGUUGUCCGGAUUUAUUGGGCGUAAAGCGCACGCAGGCGGUUUGUUAAGUCAGAUGUGAAAUCCUCGGGCUCAACCUGGGAACUGCAUCUGAUACUGGCAAGCUUGAGUCUCGUAGAGGGGGGUAGAAUUCCAGGUGUAGCGGUGAAAUGCGUAGAGAUCUGGAGGAAUACCGGUGGCGAAGGCGGCCCCCUGGACGAAGACUGACGCUCAGGUGCGAAAGCGUGGGGAGCAAACAGG
rnacentral:rRNA from 1 species